rnacentral:lncRNA from 1 species
GCUUUCUGUUGUUCCGCUGCUGCUGCUCUUGCUACUUUUGCAUGCUUUGAGCUGUGCAGAGUGCUUUGCAGUGCCUCAUCCUCUGUAGGCGUGCACGUGCCCUGAGCAUGACUUCUCGUGAGCUUCCAUAAACGUGGCUGCUUUGUACCUACCACCGCACAGGACCUUACUGGCCCCUUCUGCUGUCACAAGCUGGGGAGGGUUGGAGAAAAGCUCACUAAAGCCAAGAGGAAAAAGUGAAGACAGUUGUCAAUGUGGCUUGGAUCAACCUAACUCAGCAAGCGGGACCCUAGAGCUAAGAACAACCUCAGGAAACUCAUGCACACUUCUGCCGUUGUGUCUUCUUCUUCAGGUGGCUUGUGAACCACCACAAGGCUUCCUGCUUCUCUCCUGUGUUCAUGAAAACCCCCAGCAACAGCUCACCAACCCUAACCCUAACCAUUGAUCUGAUGCACUUUUUCAAGACCUCCACAACCACUGGCUCUUCUGGUCCAUCCCUCAGUCUCUUCAUAAGCGUCGUGGCCACUUGACUUCUAUCUUUCUCCUGGAAUUGAAGACACCACCUUAACUGAGGAUACCUGAGUUCCCAUGACCUAGCCCUAAGAGUUAGAGUUCCCUGGAAGUGCAUACUGGAUGGGGAAACCAGAGAAUUUCCCUAAAAGGCAUCCUCUAGACGCGUUCCUUAGAAAAGAUCCUGUAAAAGUGCAUUGGACUUUAAACUCACAAUUCACGACUUGUUUUAAAGUUUUAAAAAUAUUCCCAGGCCUUUCCCAGUAAUAAAUGCCUGUGGCUGAGUACAGGACAAAGGGAAGCUUUAGUCUUUUUCAGUAGGCAGUGCCCAGUCUUUGGAACUGAGAGCUGUAGCAGCUCUUCUCAAGGUCAUCAUGGCUACUGCAGUUUAGAUCUAAAUUGCCCGCCAGAAGUGUCACUCAUGGAAGCAGAGCCUUGUUGGGAGGGCCGGUGCCUGGAGCCCUGACUUGAAAGGCUGUAUACUCAUCCCCCUCCUCUCUCUCUCUUUGCUUCCUGCCGAUGUGACAGGGAACAACUUUUCCCCACCACGCCUCCCGCCGUGCUGAUUCUGCCUUGGAACCAGCUGACCGUGGGUGGAAACCACUGAAACUGUGAGCUAAAUAAAAU